rnacentral:rRNA from 1 species
CUACGGGUUGCUCCAGUGGGGAAUAUUGGACAAUGGGGGAAACCCUGAUCCAGCAAUGCCGCGUGUGUGAGGAAGGCCUGCGGGUUGUAAAGCACUUUCGGUUGGGAGGACUGCUUCUAGCACUAAUAUUGUUGGAAGUUGACGUUACCUUCAGAAGAAGCACCGGCUAACUCCGUGCCAGCAGCCGCGGUAAUACGGGUGGUGCAAGCGUUAAUCGGAAUUACUGGGCGUAAAGCGCGCGUAGGCGGCUAGAUCAGUCGGGUGUGAAAGCCCCGGGCUUAACCUGGGAACUGCAUCCGAUACUGGCUAGCUUGAGUACAGGAGAGGAGAGUGGAAUUCCGCGUGUAGCGGUGAAAUGCGUAGAUAUGUGGAGGAACACCAAUGGCGAAGGCAGCUCUCUGGCCUGAUACUGACGCUGAGGUGCGAAAGCGUGGGGAGCAAACAGGAUUAGAUACCCCCGUAGUC